CAGUAGCCACGGGAAUACGAAGGGUGCAAGCGUUAAUCGGAAUUACUGGGCGUAAAGCGUGCGUAGGCGGUUUGUUAAGUCUGUUGUGAAAUCCCCGGGCUCAACCUGGGAAUGGCAAUGGAUACUGGCAAGCUAGAGUGUGUCAGAGGAUGGUGGAAUUCCCGGUGUAGCGGUGAAAUGCGUAAAGAUCGGGAGGAACAUCAGUGGCGAAGGCGGCCAUCUGGGACAACACUGACGCUGAGGCACGAAAGCGUGGGGAGCAAACAGGAUUAGAUACCCAGUAGUCCCUGUCUCUUAUACA
rnacentral:rRNA from 1 species